UACGUAGGGUGCGAGCGUUGUCCGGAAUUACUGGGCGUAAAGAGCUCGUAGGUGGUUUGUCGCGUUGUUCGUGAAAACCGGGGGCUUAACCCUCGGCGUGCGGGCGAUACGGGCAGACUUGAGUACUGCAGGGGAGACUGGAAUUCCUGGUGUAGCGGUGGAAUGCGCAGAUAUCAGGAGGAACACCGGUGGCGAGGGCGGGUCUCUGGGCAGUAACUGACGCUGAGGAGCGAAAGCGUGGGGAGCGAACAGG
rnacentral:rRNA from 1 species